CCUGGCUGGAGCGGGGGACGAUCUGGAAGCUCUCGGUUGGUGCUCGGUGACGAUGUGCAGCGGGUGCGGUGCUCCACCUCCCGGCAGCCGCUCUGAUGUGCAAGGGAAGAGCUCCAGCUGCGGUUUGGCCUGAUACCUUCGCCCUCUUCUUAUCUACAUGAGCCAACCCUGAACUGCUUCCCUCUUUGCUGCACGUUUGUGUUCUGGCAGAUCAGGAUGGUUUUGUGGCACUUGCACACACUUGUGCCAGCACCAGACACCAGGGCAGAGCUGCAGGCAGGGGCAGCAGGAGAAGGAACUGCCUGUUUCCAUUGCAAGUGCUGGGUGAAAGUUCUACUCCAAGUUGCAUUCAUAGAAUCAUAGAGUGGGUUAGACUGAAAGGUGGAAUCAGAGUACAAAGAGGAAGAAAGCUCCAUUUGACACUGCCUAGCUAAUCUCAGCAGUACAUCGCUCAUUACUCUGCGCGGGAUUAAAG
ensembl:lncRNA